UUUUUACUCAACAUUUGCUCUGACACUUCUCUCUCAUCAACAAUCAGCCAUAUUCAUCUCCAUUAAUCUUCCUCUCUCCUCAAAUUUAUCUUCAUUGUUGGUGCAUUGUUAGCUACAAUAUAGAUGUGGUCAUCAGUUUGACAAAAUUCCACAAUGAAGGCAAUUAUUAUGUGUUAUGAAAAUUGAUUAGUUUGAACAGCUGGUUGUCUUGGCAGAUGUUAAUGAAGUUGAACUAUCUACUAAGGGUGAUUCGUUGAGAAAGAAUGGAGUUGUCGAAUUUUUUGGUGUUUCCAUGAAAUUACUAAUUGUAUCAAAGGCUGAAAACUCAGAAUUAACAAAGAUGGGGUUGUCUUUCACUAAACUCUUUACUCGCAUCUUUGCAAAGAAAAAAAUGUGAAUUCUUAUGGUUCGUCUCGAUGCUGCUGGUAAAACCACAAUUCUAUACAAACUCAAGUUGGGUGAAAUUGUUACCACUAUCCGAACCAUUGGCUUCAAUAUGGAGCCUAUUGAAUACAAAAACAUCAAAUUUACUGUGUGGGAUGUUGGUGGUCCGGACAAGAGUAGGUAACUAUAGACCGCUUACGCUCAGCAACGAUGGAGCUUAGUCUAGAAAUUAUACUACUGCUUGGUCAAAUAUUUCUAAGAAACAUGGAACUAAGAUUGAACAUUGAUCAAAUAGCAUUAGCAACGCGAUAUUGAAUUUGCAAAGUCCAAAUUAUGGAAAUCGGACGCCAGAGAGAAAGCCCUGACAACAAAUGUAGAUUUCAAAAUUUGAUUUUGGAAGAUGAAUAGAUGAGUUCAUUACAUUUUGUGUCAUGAAUAUUCUGCUAUAUCUAUAUUUACCUCAUAUGUAUAUUUUUGCUUUGUUUUACUGUUAGUAAAAACUUUGAGUUAUUAUAAGCUCUCUACAACUCUUACUUUCAGGCAUGCCAGAUAAAGGCAGUAUUGUAUGCCGAUGAAAUUGAACAGUAUGCAGAAAUUCUUAUACUCAUGAAAGUUUCUCAAACUUCAUAUGGGAAGCCGAUACAUAAACUUUACUGGGCUCUUGACAAAGAACCAGUAAUUGAACAUAUCACACCAUCUAAUGGAGUUGAGAAACCACUUCCACCACCAACCAAGCUGAAUAUCACAAACUUUGACCGCAUUCCUCACAUGAUUCUUGAUUCUGCUUUUGAAAUAGGAGAAAUUACCAUUUGUGACAAUUAG